CACCGGCGGCUCGAGUGGUGGCCACUUUUAUUGGGUCUAAAGCGUCCGUAGCCGGCUUGGCAAGUCCCCUGGGAAAUCUGGCGGCUUAACCGUCAGGCGUCCAGAAGAUACUGCCAGGCUUGGGACCGGGAGAGGUGAGAGGUACCUCAGGGGUAGGGGUGAAAUCUUGUGAUCCCUGAGGGACCACCAGUGGCGAAGGCGUCUCACUAGAACGGGUCCGACGGUCAGGGACGAAAGCUGGGGGCACGAACCGG
rnacentral:rRNA from 1 species